UACAGAGGGGGCAAGCGUUGUUCGGAAUUACUGGGCGUAAAGGGCGCGUAGGCGGCCCGCUAAGUCGAACGUGAAAUCCCCAGGCUCAACCUGGGAACUGCGUCCGAUACUGGCAGGCUUGAAUCCGGGAGAGGGAUGUGGAAUUCCAGGUGUAGCGGUGAAAUGCGUAGAUAUCUGGAGGAACACCGGUGGCGAAGGCGGCAUCCUGGACCGGUAUUGACGCUGAGACGCGAAAGCGUGGGGAGCAAACAGG
rnacentral:rRNA from 1 species